rnacentral:rRNA from 1 species
AUUGAACGCUGGCGGCAGGCUUAACACAUGCAAGUCGAGCGGAGAUGAGGUGCUUGCACCUUAUCUUAGCGGCGGACGGGUGAGUAAUGCUUAGGAAUCUGCCUAUUAGUGGGGGACAACAUUCCGAAAGGAAUGCUAAUACCGCAUACGUCCUACGGGAGAAAGCAGGGGAUCUUCGGACCUUGCGCUAAUAGAUGAGCCUAAGUCGGAUUAGCUCGUUGGUGGGGUAAAGGCCUACCAAGGCGACGAUCUGUAGCGGGUCUGAGAGGAUGAUCCGCCACCCUGGGACAGAGACACGGCCCAGACUCCUACGAGAGGCAGCAGUGGGGAAUAUUGGACAAUGGGGGGAACCCUGAUCUAGCCAUACCGCGUGUGUGAAGAAGGCCUUAUGGUUGUAAAGCACUUUAAGCGAGGAGGAGGCUACUGAGACUAAUACUCUUGGAUAGUGGACGUUACUCGCAGAAUAAGCACCGGCUAACUCUGUGCCAGCCGCCGCAGUAA